AUUGAACGCUGGCGGCAUGCCUUACACAUGCAAGUCGAACGGCAGCACGGGAGCAAUCCUGGUGGCGAGUGGCGAACGGGUGAGUAAUAUAUCGGAACGUGCCCAGUCGUGGGGGAUAACGUAGCGAAAGCUACGCUAAUACCGCAUACGAUCUACGGAUGAAAGCGGGGGAUCGCAAGACCUCGCCCGAUUGGAGCGGCCGAUAUCAGACGAGCUAGUUGGUGGGGUAAGAGCCCACCAAGGCGACGAUCUGUAGCUGGUCUGGGAGGACGACAAGCCACACUGGAACUGAGACACGGUCCAGACUACUACGGGAGGCAGCAGUGGGGAAUUUUGGACAAUGGGCGGAAGCCUGAUCCAGCAAUGCCGCGUGCAGGAUGAAGGCCUUCGGGUUGUAAACUGCUUUUGUACGGAACGAAACGGCUCUUUCUAAUAAAGAGGGCUAAUGACGGUACCGUAAGAAUAAGCACCGGCUAACUACGUGCUAGCCGCCGCCGUAAAAC
rnacentral:rRNA from 1 species